rnacentral:tRNA from 1 species
ACUUUUAAAGGAAAAUAGUUAUCCACUGGCCCUAGGAACCA